rnacentral:rRNA from 1 species
UACGAAGGGGGCUAGCGUUGUUCGGAAUCACUGGGCGUAAGGGCGCGUAGGCGGCUUUAUAAGUCGGGGGUGAAAGCCUGUGGCUCAACCACAGAAUUGCCUUCGAUACUGUAGAGCUUGAGACCGGAAGAGGUAAGUGGAACUGCGAGUGUAGAGGUGAAAUUCGUAGAUAUUCGCAAGAACACCAGUGGCGAAGGCGGCUUACUGGUCCGGUUCUGACGCUGAGGCGCGAAAGCGUGGGGAGCAAACAGG